CAUGUUCUUCAAUCCAAGUGGCAAGAAGUGCUCGUCCAAAUUCAUUGGCCGCGCCUUCAUCGAAGCUGUUCUGGAUGAGUCUAAGCCGUACCCUGAUUUGUACAACUUUUUCCAUCAACAAUGGCCGGAGAUACCUAAAGACUUUCAGCACCUGCUGCCGGACAGCGUACAACAUGGUGCAACAUUGUUCAGUGAAGCAUGCACGCACUUGUCUCGUUAUUUUAUCAACACCACUUUGGAAAAGAUAAGCAUUGAUAUUUUCUUUCUUUAUUCAUUUUUGUAUUAUGAUUUCUGUACAGGUUGUUUCUGGCCAAGAUAUACGAUUUGCCAUGCGUGACACAGCUGUCGAAAUCCAGCUGUUUGGUUGGCAAAUGAUUUACUCCCGUCAUACAACGUUGGAAAAGAGCAAUGCCCUGCGUAACAAGAUCCAGAAGCAAAUUGGCUGCCACUACAUUCUAAAUUUGGUCACAGAUAUUAGUUCUGAGCCUUCAACAUUGAAUCAAGUGGAUACUAACUACAUUGCUGCCAUGGAUCAUGAUCUCAUGGAUAACGACAACGACUUUGACGACUACGGAUAUAAUUUCGAUGAAUUCUACAAUCCUUAUUCACCGCCUGGUAGUCCAUUCAACUGGUCGCAAGUCUACACACCACCUCAAUCGCCAGCCACACAAUCCGAUGAAGCGCUUGAACGUAUGGAGGUUUGUGUGGAAGACGUUUUGGAUGCAGGCGAAAAUAUUCAGUCAGGUGGUGCGGAAUCGAUGGACGUCGAUACGCAGGAUAACGACGACGAUAUGGAAGAAGCUAUCGUGGCAAAUCAUGUUCCGUCCCAGGAAUCACUCAGUCGACCCGUUCAGGAAGAUCCUUCUGUUGACGUUACUGAAUCAGGUCAAUCCAUACCUUCGGAAUCGGACUGGUCUAAAGUUUUUACCCUCCAGAAGAUAAGUCACAACCACAACAAGAAGUUCAAUCACCAUCAGUAUUUCUACAGUUUGAAGAUCAAGUCACUGCCGCAAGAAUUUGAUACAGUAACUUCCCCAGAAGCGCUGCCUGAAGUGUUUAAGGCAGUCUGGAAAGCUUGCUCAAAAGAUUUGCUGCCGGACGAUGCUGUUUGCUUAACAUUGUUUACCCGGACUAUGGAGAAUCCAAUGCACCUGAAAAUGCAAUUCUUCAGCAACUUUAACCCGCGCGACCUGACAGAGAUGGUAAUGAAGAUCAACUCGGGUGGACUUUUCUGCAUUGAUGAUUCUCUGAGGCUUGUUAUUCAACGUACGGUCAUCCCCGCCGGAGGUGCUGCUGUGCGUAAGCAUAUUCACUCGACACACGAUAGGAAACGGUUUGCGCGCUCCAUUGUGCAGGUUGAUGUCGGCUAUAAUUUGUGUUUGCCUGCAUGCCUUGUGCUCGGACGGUUUUUUCACGAUCCUUCAAAAAAUAUACGAAACUGGAAGCAACUGACUGAUAAAAGAGAUAAGAAACUGCAAGAACUCGCAGCGGAACUAGUGGAAGAAGCGGGACUUACUGUCGGAACAAAGUUUUCCUUAAACGACAUUGAACGUUUCCAAACAACUGUCCUUAAGGGGUUCCAGAUCAAAGUUGUUGGAGCCGAGCAGGGGAACAUCAUAAUUGCCAGGUGUCCCGAAAGGCAAGGGAAGCUGAAAACCAUCUAUCUUCUGUACGAAAAUGGCCAUUUCGAUCUGAUAACCAGUCCAUCCAGGUUUCAUCGACGUGGGUAUUAUUGUGAGUUGUGUGACAAGGCAUAUGUUCAGAAAGAAAAGCAUCGAUGCCAAGGUAAAUGCACCAAAUGUUAUCGCCCAAGAGAGGUAUGCGUCGAGCCUGAAGAAACUAGCAGAAUCUUGUGCACGGAUUGCAAUCGUGAAUUCAAUAACAACAAGUGCUAUGAUCUACAUAAGAAAGCACGCAAAAACGGUCGGCCAUACUGUACGGAAUUGUUCAUUUGCCCAGAUUGUGGAGUUUUUGUAAGUCUACUCAAUCGGAAAUUCAAGAAGCACGAAUGUGGUGAGAUGUUUUGCCAUCCAUGCCAGGAGUGGGUAGAUCAAGCCACGCACAAGUGCUAUCUUAAACCGUUGGAGCCUCGUACCCAUGGAUCGAGUUCAAAUUACAUCUUUUUCGAUUAUGAAACUCACUUGGACGCGGAGGGGGUCCAUCGGCCUUGUUACGUCGUGGCACAAUACACAAGUGGAGAAGAGUUUCGCUUCCCUCCAGAUAAUGUGCCAAUGGAAGGUUACGACGUUCAGAAAGAGUUUGACCAAUGGGUUUAUUCAGAGCAACAUCGUGGAUACACCUUGAUUGCGCACAACUUUCGCGGUUACGACGGACACUUUUUACUUUUUUACCUUUUGGAAAACAACCUCAAAGGAGUUGAAGUCAUACGACGCGGGAGUCAGCUUCUUGAUCUCCGUUACCCGGCUUUGAAAAUCAGGGCGCGCGACACUCUUAACUUUGUCAUGACGAAAUUAUCCAAUUUUCCGAAGGCUGUUGGUCUGACCGAUUGCGAAUCCAAAGGCGAUUUUCCUCAUCGCUUUAACAAGCCGGGAAACUGGGACAAAGUGCUUCCGUUUCCCGCUGUCGAUGAUUACAUGGUAGGCGGCUUGAAGCGAGCGGAUCGCAGAAAGUUUGAACAGUGGCAUGCAGAAGAGAAGGAAAAGAAAGGUAGGUUUUUUUUUUUAAUAUCUCAUGUUUUAAAGGGGUUUUCGAUUUUCGACUGGAAAUGUCCGACUACUGUGCAAGGGACGUUACUUUACUGCGGAAAUGUGCUCUCCAGUUCCGUGAAAAUUUCAUCAAGAUGACCAACGUCGACCCGUUUCAAAACGUUACCAUAGCUUCCGCCUGUCAAACGUAUUACAAGACCAAACUGCGGAAGGCUAAAGAAAUUGCCGUGAUAUCUGCAAACGGUUAUCAGCCGAAUCGAAAGACAAGCGCCGAAGCAACGCAGUGGCUUGAAUGGACCAGCAUGAGUCAUCCAAACAUCGAGCACGGUAGGAAUGGUAAAGAGCGGAAAAUCAAUCGCUACUUCGUAGAUGGAUUCGAUCCGGACACAGACAGUGUACGAGUAUAACGGCUGCGUACAUCAUGGGCACCCGGAAUGCACCAAUGAAGAUGACCGGGCACCGUUCUCUUUGAAGAAAAUGUCAGAAGUGUACGAGCAGUGGAUACGUAAGAAACUCUUUUUGGAAGGAAUGGGUUAUAAUGUGGAAGAGAAGUGGUCUUGCGAGUGGUUACGUGAAAGAAAGGAUCCGGAUAUACAGCAAUUCCUCCUAAACCAGAAUCUACGUGAUCCAUUGCAACCGCGCGAUGCAUUCAAAGGUGGCCGUACCAACGCUUCGUGUUUGUUCAGAGAAGUCCAAGAUGAUGAGCAGAUUUUGCAUUACGACAUCGUGUCCUUGUACCCGUUCGUCAACAAGAAAGCUGAGUAUCCAAUUGGACAUCCGAAGAUCAUCGUGUCCAACUUCAAACCUGUGACGGAAUAUUUUGGCUUGGUCAAAUGCAAAGUUCUUCCACCUGCAAGAAUUCGAUAUCCUGUGUUGCCUGCCACCUUCAACGGUAAGCUUGUGUUCACUUUGUGCCGGACUUGUGCUGAAAACGGAAUAAACGACUACUGUUCGCAUUCCGAUGAGGAAAGAAGUUUUGAAGGAGUAUUUUGCACUUCGGAAUUGCACAUGGCGCUGCGACAGGGUUAUCAAGUGCAGGAAAUUUACGAAGUUUGGCAUUGGAACGAAAAGCGUGCGGGUCUAUUUCAAGAAUAUGUGGACAAAUUCUUGAAGGAGAAGUUGGAAGCAAGUGGAUUCCCCGCCGGCUGUACAACGCAACGUCAAAAAGAGUUGUAUGUUCAAGAAGUUGCCUUGCGCGAUGGAAUUCUGCUAGACAUUGAUCGCAUUGAAGAUAAUCCCGCAAGACGUGCAGUUGCCAAGUUGAUGUUAAAUUCAUUUUGGGGCAAGUUUGGCCAAAGAGACAACUUACAGCAGACGGUGUUCAUCUACUCCGUGAAGCAGUAUCUGGAUUUAGUCAGAUCCAAAUCUGUUGAUAUACAGAGCGCUCACGCCGUGACUCCAGAGUGCAUGAUGGUUACUUACUCGCAGAAAGAUGACUACAACGAAGGCAGUAACUGUGCGAAUCUUGCCAUUGCCGCUUUCACUGCCAGCCAUGCCCGCAUUCAGCUUUUCAGAACCAUGGCCAAGCUUGGACCGCGCCUUUUGUAUUUUGACACAGACUCUGUCAUCUUUGUUCACAAAGAAGGCAAAUGGCUUCCAGAAGUCGGUAAUGGACUUGGUCAAUGGAGCAGCGAGUUGAAACCAGAUGAAUAUAUUGUACGCUUUGUCUCCUGUGGUCCCAAAGUCUACAGUUAUGAAACAAACACCGGCCGGAUUCAGCUGAAAGUUAAAGGCAUGACUCAGAACGGGUACACGGAAGAUGUCUUGAACGAUGAUCUGCAGCGCACUGGAGAGAACCUUGACUUUGACAAGUUGACCGAAAUCCUGAAAGGCGCUACAAUGCCGGUACGUAUCAGUUAUGUUAUUAAAUUUCUUUUAGUUUCUUAUUGAUUCCAGUGGUUUAACACAGGUUGUGUACCCUGAGUACAUUAAGCGGAACUUUAAAGCUCAAGAGAUUUCCACUGUCCGCUUGAAGAAGCAUCUGCGCAUGGUGUACGACAAACGGGUUUUGUUGGAAGAUUUCACCACAGUUCCGUACGGUUUCAAGAAGCCGGACCCGCAGCCGGCGUGAUGGAUUUGUAUCUGGAGGAUGCCACAACCAUGUGGUACGAGAACAAGCGUGACUCGUACAUGGGAUUCCAUAAGAAGUCCAAAGCCAUUACCUUCUGCAAGACGUUUUCGACCGAAGGAGACCAGCGCUUUGUGUAUACUGCCAUGGAAUUAUCUGCACCGAUCGUCUCGCGUAUACUGGAAUGCAUUUCUGACGACACUGUUCAAGAGUUACUGGACUCUUCUGUUUUGAAACGUAAGCCGAUGGAUCUUUUCUUGCAUGGUGACGGGACUGAUAACUUGAACAUAACAUUCAAAACUGGGAGAUUCUUCUGUAUUUACUUCUCCCAAACCAAGA